rnacentral:rRNA from 1 species
UACAGAGGGUGCGAGCGUUAAUCGGAGUUACUGGGCGUAAAGCGCGCGUAGGCGGCUUUGCAAGUCGGGUGUGAAAUCCCCAGGCUCAACCUGGGAACUGCAUUCGAGACUGCAUUGCUAGAGUAUGGGAGAGGGAAGUGGAAUUUCCGGUGUAGCGGUGAAAUGCGUAGAUAUCGGAAGGAACAUCAGUGGCGAAAGCGACUUCCUGGACCAAUACUGACGCUCAUGUGCGAAAGCGUGGGGAGCAAACAGG